rnacentral:rRNA from 1 species
GAUGAACGCUGGCGGCGUGCCUAAUACAUGCAAGUCGAGCGAAUGGAUUGAGAGCUUGCUCUUAUGAAGUUAGCGGCGGACGGGUGAGUAACACGUGGGUAACCUGCCCAUAAGACUGGGAUAACUCCGGGAAACCGGGGCUAAUACCGGAUAACAUUUUGAACCGCAUGGUUCGAAAUUGAAAGGCGGCUUCGGCUGUCACUUAUGGAUGGACCCGCGUCGCAUUAGCUAGUUGGAGAGGUAACGGCUGACCAAGGCAACGAUGCGUAGCCGACCUGAGAGGGUGAUCGGCCACACUGGGACUGAGACACGGCCCAGACUCCUACGGGAGGCAGCAGUAGGGAAUCUUCCGCAAUGGACGAAAGUCUGACGGAGCAACGCCGCGUGAGUGAUGAAGGCUUUCGGGUCGUAAAACUCUGUUGUUAGGGAAGAACAAGUGCUAGUUGAAUAAGCUGGCACCUUGGCGGUACCUAACCAGAAAGCCACGGCUAACUACGUGCCAGCCGCCGCCGUAA